GGAGGCUCAGGCACGGCGGGCUGCAGGUCCCGAGCUCUGCCCCGCGGGGAGGCAGCUAAGGCCCGGCGAGAAAUCGAGCACAGCAGCUGUCGGCCCAUGUGCUAAGCCCCUCACUCCCCGGGUCGGCGGGGCCCGCCGGCCACUCCGAGUGCGAGGCCCGCCGAGCCCACGCCUACCCGGAACUCGCGCUGGCCCGCAAGCGCCGCGCGCAGCCCCGAUUCCCGCCCGCGCCUCUCCCUCCACACCUCCCUGCAAGCUGAGGGAGCCGGCUCCGGCCUUGGCCAGCCCAGAAAGGGGCUCCUACAGUGCAGCGGCGGGCUGAAGAGCUCCUCAAGCACGGCCAGAGUGGGCGCUAAGGCCGAGGAGGCCCCGAGAGCGAGCGAGGGCUGUGAGCGCUGCCAGCAUGCUGUCACCUCUCAAUAGUAAGUUCUGGAAGCUGAGAAGUCCGAAAUCAAGGUACCAGCAGGGUCCGGUCUGCUGAGGGCUGCUCUCUGCUGUGCCCUCCAGAGAGAACAAAUGCUGUGUCCUCCAGGAGGAAGAUGACCUUUCAUCUUAUUUCUCAUCUGCUGGUCCCAUCAACCCUAACUUUGUAUCUGCUAAAACUCAGGAUGUGAUAGGUUAUAUUGGGCAACAAUGACAACAAUUCAGUGGGCUAAAGAAAAAGUUUAAUUUCUGCUGAUAUUGCAUAUCCAACAAGGACUGGAAGAGGGAAUCUUCACUUUGGACCCUAAAAGGUCCAGCCUGAUUUUGAAAUUUGAAGACAAAUUGAUAGGUGGAAACACGAUUCAAGAGAAGGUGAACACACCAUUGUUACUACAGACAGAAGAUGGAUUGAGGGAAGAGUGGCUUAUUUAAUUGGUGAAUUUUAGAGAAGAAAUUGAGAAUGUCUGCUACUUUUCAUCCCUCCUGAAACUACUACUAUUUUUAGAGGUGCCUAACAUGUUGACCUGCUCUUUGGUAGGUGGUAAACUUGCCUUGCAAACUCUUCUGCAAGAAAGGCUUGGGAUCUUUCAGUUUAGUUUAUAACUGACUAGAUUUAUCAGUCCAGAUUGGCUAGGUUAUGCUGGGUAACAAACAACACCAACAUUCUAGUAGAUUUUAAAUAAAGGUUUAACUUCUGCUUCUGCUUAUACUGCUUGUCCAACAAGUGUGAGUAGAGACACAGCCUGAUGGAGACUUAAUCUUAACAUUCUCAACUAUGAUUACCAAAGCAGAAAAAUAAAACACAUUAAAUCACAUGCUGGCUUAUGAAAGCCUCCAUCUUUAAGUGACAUGUGCACUCUCGUUCAUAGUUCAUUGGCCAAAGAAAGUCACCUGGCAUGCCUAAUUUCAAAGUGGUAAAAAAAUGCAAUUCUUCCAUGUGCCUAGAUGAAUGAACUACAGCACAUAUGUGGUGAAUAGCAUGGUGAGUGUCACAGUGAAUCAGUGUAAAAUAUACAACUCAGUGGUUUUUAGCAUAUUUGCAGAGCUGUGCCACCAUAAUCACAGUCAAUUUUAGAAUAUUUUUAUCACCCCCAAAAGAAACCCAUACCCAUUAAUUGUCAUUGUCUACACUUUUGAUUUAAUGAAAACUAAUCAGAUAAAAAAAGAAAACAUUAUUUUAUUUAUAAAACACAUUUGAUUUUACAAACAAUAACAUAUGCAUUAGGAAAGAGGAAACAUUUAGUUCCUUUGAGCUAUAGAAACGACUUCUAGGUCUUCAAGAAAGAGUUGGGCAUGAGGGGAUAUGUUCUCCUUUGUGCCUGAUUUUCCCAUGGAUUAGAGGUUUGCUGACAUUGUGUCUUUUGGCUCUUCCAAGAGCUACUGCUUUCUCCUAAAACAGAAUUUUGUAUUCAAGUCUUGCUUCUAAUCUUCCAUGUUCUUAUUUUUUUUCUCUUCAUCACAUUGCAAUAUUAAAGAAUUAGCAUGACAGUUUAAAUGCAUUUACACAAUACCUAAUGGUAAAAUGAAUGUUAUUAUCAUUGUCCUAUAUAUGUGCAAUUACCUGUAUUUAUACAAAGUUUCAUCACAAAAGUUGGCUUAUUUUAACUUCAUAGUAAGUUGUAAGAUACCUAUAAUUAUCUAAAUUUUACAAAUGAGAAAAUAACACUCAAUGCUAGAGGUAGAACCUAAACUCAGAUCUACUAAUUCCAUGCCCGGGGAUCUUCCCUGUAAUGAUUUUAGAAUAUCACUUCUUAUGGAAUUACAAAAGAAACAGGCAAGACUUUUAUAAUCAGUAGUUUCCAUCUGUAUCCCAAAGAUAAAUUGACUCAACAUAUUCAAUACUUAUUUAUUAGUUCCAAAGUGAUUGACAGCUGGGGCUCACAGAUCCUUUGGCUCUGAAAUAUGGAGGGAAAACCUGAGUAGAGAAAAAAAAAUGUGAUCAAAGCAGAACCAGGGAUCACCACAAACUUCAGAUCGAGGCACAUAAAUGAGAUAUCAGUGAGAAUGUCAAGGCAGUUGGGUCGGGCACUAGGAAAGCAUAGAUGCAAAAGAGAAAAUGGAGUUAAGGAAUCACAAUAUGUCAGAAAUAUGGUCAGAAUUAAAUCCAUUUUCCUGAAACCAUAGAAUAGAACAAGGCAGAAAAGGUGAGGCAUAAGACACCAAGGAGAAAACAAUUCUGAGACAAACUCCAGAAGCACGGUAUCAGUUGGGCAAUUAGC
rnacentral:lncRNA from 1 species